rnacentral:rRNA from 1 species
UCAGUCGACUCCUACGGGGAGGCAGCAGUGGGGGAAUUUUGGACAAUGGGCGCAAGCCUGAUCCAGCAAUGCCGCGUGAGUGAAGAAGGCCUUCGGGUUGUAAAGCUCUUUGUCAGGGAAGAAACGGUGGGAGCUAAUAUCUCCUGCUAAUGACGGUACCUGAAGAAUAAGCACCGGCUAACUACGUGCCAGCAGCCGCGGUAAUACGUAGGGUGCAAGCGUUAAUCGGAAUUACUGGGCGUAAAGCGUGCGCAGGCGGUUUUGUAAGUCUGAUGUGAAAUCCCCGGGGCUCAACCUGGGAAUUGCAUUGGAGACUGCAAGGCUAGAAUCUGGCAGAGGGGGGUAGAAUUCCACGUGUAGCAGUGAAAUGCGUAGAUAUGUGGAGGAACACCGAUGGCGAAGGCAGCCCCCUGGGUCAAGAUUGACGCUCAUGCACGAAAGCGUGGGGAGCAAACAGGAUUAGAUACCCUGGUAG